CAUUGGAAUUGGUGUAUAUUUGUAAAAGUGGAUUGCUGAAACUGUUGGUGAAGAACAAAGGUCGACUGAAGCAUUGAGGUAAGGAUGCUGCAGGAGCCUCUGGUGGCAAGUGGCCAUAUCUGGAUUAUGCAUGAAAUGUGGCAUUUCUUUUGAGAUUGUACAUGUUGUUUUGUAGCUCACAUGUAUAGGAU